UAUGUUUCCACGAAGAGAGAUCGGUAGCCUAAAAGAGAGAGGGGGAAAGCGAGAAAGGUAGAGUACUGUUUUGAUUAGAGAGAGGGUGAGGAGUUUGCAUGACUGGAGAUUUGAGCUUUUUUGGCGCAGGGAUUUUGGUCGUCGGUUGCUGACGAGUUGGCUACUAUUUGGUUGGAGUGCAAGGAUAAUUUUGUGUCGUCAAUAAUGUUUGUGUUGAUUCAGAUAAAUUGCAGUCGGAAGUAAUUCUCUCUGAUGUUCUUAAUCUGCUGAAAAGAAAGAGUAGGAUUAUUCGGGAUUCAAUCUUUUCAGGAUUAUUUGGUUGGGAAAAAAGAAAGAAAGAAAGUAGGAUCAAUAUUGGGGAACCUCUCCUUCUGGAAAAACAGGCAUAAAUAAGAGAAGCCAAUUUCUGAUCAGGGUCGCAGGUGGUAAUGACUUGGUUUUGUUGAAUGCACUGAACAUGUAAAUUUCGAAAUAUGGCAUCUUGUAUAAAAUUUCCAGAUUUGCAUUUGGAAUCGAGCAAAAAGGUCAGAGAAGAAACUGAAGGUACUGCUAAAUUACAGGGAUCCAAUGGUCUGAGAAAAAUAAUGAGGAGGAAGACUAUUAUAUUUGUACAAGUACUUCAAUUAUUGUGGUUAUUGGAUUUUCCUCUACCCCCAUUUGUUAGUUCAAGGAGGGGAUAUCACUAUUUUUAGGCUGAAUGAGUUUAAGAAUUACUGUAUGAGUUACAAGUGUUUUAAAUUUUAAAAUAUAGGAUAUAAAAGAAAAGCAGUGUACAUUACAACC